rnacentral:lncRNA from 12 species
UCUUUCUGUUGGGGGUAAAACAUGUGUUUCUUCUGCAUACAGAGGACUGUGCAGCCGUGAUGCCCUCCUCGACACUUUGCCUGGAAAGCCCACCGAGCUGCACCUUUCUUCCAGGACAGCUCUUUUGCGUGUUUUCACGCUGUCGUCAAGGGUGCGGGAGUGACGUGGCAUCUUUGCCGUGCCCAUGCCUGGGCGGAUGGCAUUAGGCUGAAGAUGGCAAACAGAGGUGCUGUUUUAGGGGUGUGUGUGGAGAAGCCAGAGAAUACGCAGGAAGCUUGUGUCGACUUCGUGUUCAGCCUUCACUCUUCUCCUUGGGCCAAGGUGACUGAGCUCUGCCCAGACUUGCUGCAAUGCCCCACUCCCUCUGCUUAAUUCCUUGUAAAUAAAACAGAGCUCCCUCUUCCCUGCA